rnacentral:rRNA from 1 species
UACGUAGGGCGCAAGCGUUGUCCGGAAUUAUUGGGCGUAAAGAGCUCGUAGGCGGCCUGUUGCGUCCGCUGUGAAAUCCCGGGGCUUAACCCCGGGCUUGCAGUGGAUACGGGCAGGCUGGAGGCAGGCAGGGGAGAACGGAAUUCCUGGUGUAGCGGUGAAAUGCGCAGAUAUCAGGAGGAACACCGGUGGCGAAGGCGGGUCUCUGGGCCGAUACUGACGCUGAGGAGCGAAAGCGUGGGGAGCGAACAGG